rnacentral:tRNA from 1 species
AACAAAGUGAAAUUACACCUGUUAGUCUGUUAACUUAGUCCACUUU